GCGGGUGUCGUCCAACAGGUCAGGACACCGGAACCUCACUCCGGAAACGACGGUUCGACUCCGUCCACCCGUA
rnacentral:tRNA from 1 species